CCUACGGGAGGCAGCAGUGAGGAAUAUUGGUCAAUGGUCGGGAGACUGAACCAGCCAAGCCGCGUGAGGGAUGAAGGUACAGAGUAUCGUAAACCUCUUUUGUCAGGGAACAAAGGCGGGGACGUGUCCCCGGAUGAGUGUACCUGACGAAAAAGCAUCGGCUAACUCCGUGCCAGCAGCCGCGGUAAUACGGAGGAUGCGAGCGUUAUCCGGAUUUAUUGGGUUUAAAGGGUGCGCAGGCGGUCUGUUAAGUCAGCGGGCAAAGCCCGGGGCUCUACCCCGGGCCGCCGUUGAAACUGGCAGUCUCGAGUUGGAGAGAAGUAUGCGGAAUGCGCGGUGUAGCGGUGAAAUGCAUAGAUAUCGCGCAGAACUCCGAUUGCGAAGGCAGCAUGCCGGCUCCACACUGACGCUGAGGCACGAAAGCGUGGGUAUCGAACGGGAUUAGAUACCCGGGUAGUC
rnacentral:rRNA from 1 species